CAGGGGCUGGCGGAGCGACCGCGGCUGCCCCUCCCCUAUUCCUGGGGGGAGCGGGGGAGCUAAGGGAGCAGGCGAGAGUAGGUGAGGUGGAAGGGGAGGAGAGAGAGGGACAGUUUGGGAUCGGGAUGAGGGGAAGGGGGUGAGCGCGGCGAAGGAGGAAGGGGCUCGUUUCGACGGCGGUGGCGAGUGGUAUCGGUACCGGUGGCCGGUCCGGAACGGCUGGGCUCCACAGGUCCUCCUGGGAGCAGAAGUUGGUGCAGCGAACGCGGGGACCUAGUUCCGCCCCCUUGGUGGCUUGCAGAGGAAGCUGGAUGAGAAGAGGCGGGGCCGGUGGCGCUGGAGCAGCAGCUAGAUGGCGCGGCGCAGGAGAGGCCGGAGGGGUACGAAGAGGCGCCGUGGCGAUACCACCUAGGAAUCUCGGUCUACGGUGGCGACUGCCUACGAUGAUGUACCUCCGGCGGCUUCUGGUCCUCAUCAAUCCUCCAGGGUCCGUCCUCCGGAACGGAGAAGCUAGCAACUACAAACACGAUCGGAAGAAUUCCGUAGGAACAAAUUGAAUACAGACAUGAGUCUAUAACAACGAAGGCGACUGCGAACACAUAGCUCGAACAUAAGCUCGGGAGCUCCGGGGACUGAACAUUAUACUUCGAACAUAAUAAAAUAAACA
rnacentral:rRNA from 1 species